rnacentral:misc_RNA from 1 species
CACGCUCACAUGCUGUUGUUUCACUGUUUCAGUAUUGUUAUUGUUUGUUGUGCGUUAGUUAGGUUAAGUAGUGAUUAUUUCAUUAUUGUUUUAUUUUGAUGUGUCCGUGCUUUUUCUUAAUUUAUAACUGUUUGCUUAUAUAAAAAGAAAUAUAUUGUAUGUUUUAGAAUCCCCUUCCUUGAAUUCUAAUAUUUUGCAUUUUACAUUAGCCUAUUUGUUAUAUUUUUUUCUUUAUAGCCAAGUUGGAGAUUAUGUUUCUUACAAAAAAUGUAUUUCCAAGUAUGUUUCUUUUCAUUGUUUUAUUAUUUUCACAUGCAUCACUUGCAUCAUCUCUUCUUGGCUGGUUAGAUUGGACUACUAUUAGUACAAAUCUUGGUUCAUCAGAUGAAGUCAAGAGAGACCAAGAAAAUGACUUAAGUAAUGUUCCUGAAGACAUAACUCUCAUAUCUGUCCCUUUUGAAGAAAUGAGUGCUGAAGAUAAAUUUCUUUUAGAAGCAGAAAGAUUUAGCAGAGUUUCACUCUCUGGUUUAGACACUUGUGAACACAGAGUUGUUUUAAAAAUUCAAUCUUCCUGUACUGACAUGACUGAAGAGGAACUAGCUAAGCUAAGCAUCUACUUGUUGAACUGUCAGUUGGAAGUGAGUGGAAGAUCUCAAGUAACAUGCACAGAUGACAUGAGUCUGAAGGAGUGCACGUCCCCAAUGGAUGAUGAGACGUGGAAUGCCUAUCACACAAUCAACAACAGGGCUCGGGCUGUUUGCUAUGCCACUCGUCAACAGCAGUUUCGUAUCCUCUCUGAAAUGACUGUCAACAAACUUAUGUCAUCAGCUCUUAAACAAGUUACCAGUAUGGAGAGCUUAAAGGAACUACAGAAGGAAUUGAAUCUUCUCACUUCAGAGACAAUGUCAUCAUUAACAGAAGGGCAGAAAGGAUUGGCUAAUCAGAACAGUGGAAUGCAGCUAGCCCAGAGGAAGAUAAUGGAUGACAUAUCUAGCACCAUGAGACAGCUGACUAAGGAAAAGACACUCAUCCAGAACACACAGAGCCAAUUGGACUCUUUGUCCAGGAAACUAUCAUAUCAGUUCGAUGAAGCAGAGUCACGUCUUGGCACUCAGAGUGAACUUCACCAAGAGACACAUAAACAGAUUCUCUCUCAUCUAGAAGACAUUACUCAGAAGGCAGAUAUUUUAUGGAAACUGUUAGAACAUAAGAGUGAAAAGGUGAUAAAACAGCAAGAUGAGAUCCAAAAAAGAAUGCAAGAAGCACUAGACAGCUUAAUCCAAAUAAAUUGUAGUGUUAACUACUUGAAAGGUCUUGUAGACCAAGUGAAGGCAGAUGUUGAUAGCAAGAUUUUAUGGGCUACUACUGCUAUAGGAGGAGACAAGACCACACUGGUGUUGGUUCUACAGCAUUGUUUGCUGUUGGUUGCUGGUGUCCUGGUCAGCCUGUUUCUUCAGUUAUCUAUUGCUUGUCGGUUAUCCCUGCUGAUAGCUGUACUCUUCAAUAUUGCUCUUGUUUACUACAGACAACCUCUAACAUUGCUCUCAUUAAGUGGCACCAUAGUAGGUUACAACAAGAGUGCUGUGAAUUCCUUUUGAAUAUUGACAAGCAGCCAACACUUGCUUAGGUUUGAAAAAUACUAAUUUGUCAUGCUGGUCCCACUUUAAAGUUGUAUGUACAUCCUUCUUCUACCAACUACAGGGACUUGAAAGUGGUUUAUGGACAGUUUCUACAGUAAGUCCAGUGUGUUGGCUGGCUUUCAAUAAGUAUAAGGCUGGUUCUAUCAAAAGUCAUGAACAUUCAAAAACACAUGGUAAAGAAGAAGAAGAGGAAGUAGAAGAUGAUAAAUCCUCC